rnacentral:rRNA from 1 species
GAUGAACGCUGGCGGCAGGCUUAAUACAUGCAAGUCGAACGGUAGCAGGCCCGAGCAAUCGGGUGCUGACGAGUGGCGCACGGGUGCGUAACGCGUAUGCAACCUACCCAUGAUCGGGACAUAACGUUGAGAAAUCGGCGCUAAUAUCCCAUGCGAAUAUUGAACGGCAUCGUUCGGUAUUCAAAGAUUUAUUGAUCACGGAUGGGCAUGCGUAUCAUUAGCUAGUUGGCGGGGUAACGGCCCACCAAGGCGACGAUGAUUAGGGGCUCUGAGAGGAGUUUCCCCCACACUGGAACUGAGACACGGUCCAGACUCCUACGGGAGGCAGCAGUAGGGAAUAUUGGGCAAUGGAGGCAACUCUGACCCAGCCAUGCCGCGUGCAGGAAGACGGUCCUAUGGACUGUAAACUGCUUUUAUCACAGAGUAACCGGAGGGACGCGUCCCUCCCUGCAAGUAUGUGAUGAAUAAGCAUCGGCUAACUCCGUGCCAGCAGCCGCGGUAAUACGGGGGAUGCGAGCGUUAUCCGGAUUUAUUGGGUUUAAAGGGUGCGCAGGCGGACCGGUAAGUCAAUGGUGAAAAUCUCCUGCUUAACAGGAGUCGUGCCAAUGAUACUGCCGGACUAGAGUGCAAGCGGUGUGGCUGGAAUGUGGCGUGUAGCGGUGAAAUGCUUAGAUAUGCCACAGAACGCCGAUCGUGAAGACAUGUCACAAACUUGCAACUGACGCUCAUGCACGAAAGCGUGGGGAUCAAACAGGAUUAGAUACCCUGGUAGUCCACGCUGUAAACGAUGAUCACUCGUUGUCGGGGGGCGACCCUCGGUGGCUAAGCGAAAGCGAUAAGUGAUCCACCUGGGGAGUACGAUCGCAAGGUUGAAACUCAAAGGAAUUGACGGGGGCCCGCACAAGCGGAGGAGCAUGUGGUUUAAUUCGAUGAUACGCGAGGAACCUUACCCGGGCUUGAACGUGAGACGAAUGUGGAGGAAACUUCGCAGCCUACGGGCGUCUUGCGAGGUGCUGCAUGGUUGUCGUCAGCUCGUGCCGUGAGGUGUUAGGUUAAGUCCUGCAACGAGCGCAACCCUUACCCGUAGUUGCCAUCGCGUCGUGGCGGGAACUCUACGGGAACUGCCUACGCAAGUAGAGAGGAAGGUGGGGAUGACGUCAAAUCAGCACGGCCCUUAUGUUCGGGGCUACACACGUGCUACAAUGGCAUGUACAGAGGGCAGCGGCCGCGCGAGCGGGAGCGAAUCCUCAAAUCAUGUCUCAGUUCGGAUCGGAGUCUGUAACUCGACUCCGUGAAGUUGGAUUCGCUAGUAAUCGCGCAUCAGCCAUGGCGCGGUGAAUACGUUCCCGGGCCUUGUACACACCGCCCGUCAAGCCAUGGAAGCUGGUGGUACCUAAAGUCCGUGCCCGCAAGGAGCGGCCUAGGGUAAAACUGGUAACUGGGGCU